rnacentral:rRNA from 1 species
GGACGAACGCUCGGCGGGUGGUGCCUCAUACGAUGCAAGUCGAACGAUAAGGGUUCCUUCGGGAAUAACGAUAAGUGGCGGACGGGUGAGUACAAUGUAGGAAAUCUGCCUUAGGGUGGGGGACAACAGAGGGAAACUCCUGCUAAUACCCCAUACGAGCUUGGUUGAAAUACCAAUCUUGAAAGUUCCGGCGCCCUAAGAUGAGCCUGCACCUGAUUAGCUAGUUGGUGGUGUAAUGGACUACCAAGGCGAUGAUCAGUAGCCGACCUGAGAGGGUGACCGGCCACAUUGGGACUGAGACACGGCCCAA